rnacentral:rRNA from 1 species
UACGUAGGGUGCGAGCGUUAAUCGGAAUUACUGGGCGUAAAGCGUGCGUAGGUGGUUCGUUAAGUCCGUUGUGAAAGCCCCGAGCUCAACUUGGGAAUUGCAGUGGAUACUGGCGAGCUGGAGUGCGGUAGAGGAAGGUGGAAUUCCCGGUGUAGCGGUGAAAUGCGUAGAGAUCGGGAGGAACACCAGUGGCGAAGGCGGCCUUCUGGACCAGCACUGACACUCAAGCACGAAAGCGUGGGGAGCAAACAGG